rnacentral:rRNA from 1 species
GACGAACGCUGGCGGCGUGCCUAAUACAUGCAAGUAGAACGCUGAAGAGAGGAGCUUGCUCUUCUUGGAUGAGUUGCGAACGGGUUAGUAACGCGUAGGUAACCUGCCUUGUAGCGGGGGAUAAAUAUUGGAAACGAUAGCUAAUACCGCAUAACAAUGGAUGACACAUGUCAUUUAUUUGAAAUGGGCAAUUGCUCCACUACAAGAUGGACCUGCGUUGUAUUAGCUAGUAGGUGAGGUAAUGGCUCACCUAGGCGACGAUACAUAGCCGACCUGAGAGGGUGAUCGGCCACACUGGGACUGAGACACGGCCCAGACUCCUACGGGAGGCAGCAGUAGGGAAUCUUCGGCAAUGGGGGCAACCCUGACCGAGCAACGCCGCGUGAGUGAAGAAGGUUUUCGGAUCGUAAAGCUCUGUUGUAAGUCAAGAACGGGUGUGAGGGUGGAAAGUUCACACUGUGACGGUAGCUUACCAGAAAGGGACGGCUAACUACGUG